UAACACAAAAUUUAGUUAUUUUGAAAGUGUGAGCAUAAAAUAGGUAACUCUGAGCUUUUAAAAUACCUUAGAGCUGAAGAACCUUGCAAUAAAUAUCUUUUAUUGGGGAGUUUUAGAGUGUAACCCUUGUGUACUCUGAAAGGUUCAUUGAUGGUUUCCAAAACCCACAGAGGAUCCCUCUGCUGGUAGUAAGAUUUUGAGUCAAUGCGUAAGUGUAUCUGUGAUAAUCCAUUUGCAAGAUCAUGAACAUUUUCACAUGUGUAAACCAAGUUGAAGUAAACACGGUUUACAACAUUUUAAGCUGUAGGCAUUUCUGUCUGAAAAUGGGGAAUUCAGUAUGCAUACUUCAGAUUCCAUUCAGAGGAACAAUAGUAAACAAUUCUAACCAAAAUACAGUGGUUUUCCUCCCAAGUACUACACUAAGCCCCACAGAAACUUAUUUCUGACACCCCCCCCCCUCCAACUUUUAAUAUUAGCAAUGGUUUCUGCAAAAAUAAACGUUCCCUCAAAGUAUUGGCAACCCAAACACAAAAGCCAAAACUUGAAGAUAACAAUAGUGACCUUCUGAGUUUGGUUUUUUUUCUCUAACUUAAGAAAAAUUGCUGAAGUGAAGAGCACAAAUAGAAGCUACAUAGAUUUUUAAGUUUUUGGUUCCUGAUAUUGGUAAAAGGUGAGCAAGAAUCUAUAAUAGCAGAUUUACCUGUUGCUUUCAGAGGAGGAGGAUACGGUUGCAGCUUUUGGAGUCUGUGGUUUGGGUCACCUCAUGCUGCACACUAGUUAGGCUGACUACCAUUCCAGCAUUUCUAGUCAUGCACUGAUAGAUGAUUACCUCAGACUUCACUGGGACUGAGUGCAUUCUAUGUGUAUUUCUGAUAUAUGGUUUAUUUUUAGCCAGCAGGAGGAUAUAAGGACUCAGGGAAUGGCACAGCUGGAGGCAAAGGGAAGCCUAGCUCAGCCUAGCUUGGAGCUCUCUCCUACAUCUUGGACAAGUUCAGGAAAUAAAACUCUUUUAUGCUGGUUGGAGGUGUCUACAAGGAGCACCCCAUGCUGGCUGGUAUCUUGAGCAGUCCAGAAAAAGAGGCAGAAACGGUUCCUGUUUACAAGUUGGAAAAAGCAAAUUAAGCCAAGAAGGUGUUUGCAUAGUUUUGCCUUAGUAGUGAAAGAGAUGUAUACUCAGGAGCUGACAGUGGUUGAGCAUUCCCUCUGUAAAGCUCAGGCAGGAAGGAGGACUGUACACAACACUGUCCUGAAAAUGUGUCUUCGAAUAAGUCUUCAUAGUAGAAGUACUGGAAGUCUGAAGGAGAUGGAGUCUUCUAAAUAAUGAUGGUCUUAUGGAGGAGGUCACGCUCUCCUCUCACGGAGGAAGGAGAUGGAAAGAACUGUUGUGGAAGCAGUUGGCAAGGUCAGUCUGUCUUGUUGUCACAAGAGUGGCAGGAAGGAGGCUUCCAAACAAACCCAAGCCCCAGGAGUGAGGCAAUCACCGUUUCUUCCUGCUCACAUCAAAUUCUUGUUCAAGGCAUUUCCAAAUAAGGGUUAGGAGCUGAGCGCUGCAACCGCAAGAUGACAGUGCAAUGCUGUUAAAACCAAGACUCCUUUUUCCUUCUACUUAAAAUAAUCUAUGUCCAGCCAUGAAUCAAAGCUCCUCUUUAACCUGCCAUGCUCUGAAAUAGACUGACAGAAACAUACACAAAUCCUCCUGAAAAAAUAAAUGAUGAAAAAAGCUUUAGCUGGCAAUUCCAGAGUAAGAAUGAUUAGCAAGUUGCACUGUUGAGUUAACAUGAUUUUAAUCAUGUGCUGCUUGUUAAUCUCAAGGGAAAAAAUGCCACAAUGUGUCUCUUGUGUGAGCAAAAGGAACACAAGAAUCACAUGGCAAAGUAAUUUUUGCAUAAUGGUAUCAGUAAAAUCAAAUAAACAUAAAAGAGAACAAUAUUCCUGGCCAAAGUAAGUUAACCUGAGAUCAGUGGAGCUUUACUAAUCUAGCCACCAAAAGGUCUAUCUUGUCACACAGACCCUUGAAGUCCUCCCCUUUAGCUUGCCAAUGGUAGAGCAGCAAAGGGCCAUGGGAUAGUUGUUGAGAUGCAUCACUAAAGUAAAAGCAAACCAAUAUGGUACUGAUGGAAAGAAAGAGAGAGCAAUUUUAGCGUUUAAGGUUAGGGCAGUGGUGACAGGGUGAGAGCAGCUUUGAGUUUGCCAGUACUUGAGCCUGCUUUCACUUUGUAUGAACUUUUAAAUAUUCAGGAAACCUUCCAGUGAUGCUUUGAUUUCAAAAGCUAUCUGGUGGCCAACGUGUCCAAACCCAGCAAUUAAACCAAUAAAUUUAGAGGCCAGUCUUUAAAAGUUCUGAUCUUCAAACGCUGCCACUAGUGCAUUAUUCAUGGAUUUGUUUUUUUCCUUUGAUAUCUCUCUAUGGUAUGAUCUAUAUAGCAGAAAAGAACCCACAUCUGUCUGUUUACACCACCCUGGGAAUUCCUGUGGGCAACCAAAAAAGUCAACCACAAAUAACUGCUGGGCUACCAACAAACAUCGUAUCUGGAGUGCCUCCACCCACCUGCCAUUGGGCAGAUUUCUAAAUCUUAUUUGAACAUGUGAAAAAUCUGAUUGUGUUGGAAGGGGGAUAUAGAGGGGGAGCUGGGGAAAGGACUAGUUUGAAAAACUAACCUGAAAUCAGCAGAACUAGUAUGGGAUUUCUGGGGGAGUAGGUUACAUAUGGGCCCUGAGCAUCACAUCAUGACACAGUGCUUCUCAUUGAAUCAGAUCAUUUGACUCACUGUGGGGUUCAAGGUUGAACCCUUUUGUGCUGAGGGUAUGCAGGUGGUUCUGAGCUGCAUCUUGGGGAAAGAUGGACAGAAAACAUCCCAUAAACCAUUUUGAAAAUUCAGGAAAAAUUCUGCAAUGGGAUACUGGGAGAGGCUUUAAAUUCCAGUUCUGCCCUAGCCAGUGGGCCUUUCUGGUCAUUCUCACUUUAUCUGCAGGGUCUUUUUACAUGGUUAUGGGUCUUGAUGGAGAGAGUUACAAUUUCCAUUGGUUUGAAAAGUUGCUCAAUACAUCCAAUGAUGAACUCCCAACCAAGCCCUUCACUCACCCAAAUACUUUUCUUAAUGCAUGUACCUGAACUGAAGCAUUUUUUUAGUCUUCUCAAAAUCAGUCGAAGGUAUUACUACCUAAAAAUAGGCAUCCACCAAGGUGAAUCUCAUCCUAUGACUCUUCAUGUCCUUGAGAUGCAUAGAAAAUAUUCUGAUUUAUUAGCUUGAUCUCGCAUUGUUACUUGAUUUGCAGUAGUCAGUGAGCUCUUAACUCUGCUUUAGUAGUCGUCAAUCAAUCAGGCGUUCCACUUUAACUUGAUACACAAUUAAAAAGCUAAAGCUAUAGUAUAGAUGGUACGAAGAUUUUGUUGUUUGUAAAUAGUUUUCAGCCAGGCGUUGUGUCAAUGGGGUUUUUUGAGCCUUUAAUUUUUGAUGUGGUAAUUUCUCCUUGUCAUCUUAUAUACUAGAGUAUGCUGCACUUUCUUUGACUUGUCCCCUUGGACAUUUGCUACUCGUACAGUUUUUAUUUCCUGCCUCUGGGUAGCAGUUUUUCCCCUUCUAGUUUCUUUCAAUUAGUUGAGAAAUACUUUCCAUUUUUCUUUUUUUUUUUUAAUUGGCAUAUCAUCAUAAUUUUUAUGAGGAUACAUUUACCAUUUACAUUUGUUGGGAUCUUACAGCUCCAGGGCAAUACCCUCCACGUCAGACCUCUUAACAAAUAAAAAUUAAAAUUUUUAAGAUUUUUUUUUUAAUCUAGUGGUUUUUCUUACUCUUUCUCUGAACUCCGAAGUGUAAAAACUUGAUUUUUUUAAAUCACUAAGCCUUCAAUUCAUUCAUGUCAGCUGAAGGUCUAACAGAUUUUUGUAUUUGGGGUGCCUUUCUGGCUUUUCCUGACUUUCUCCUUCCUUAUGUUUAUCCUCAUUGUGGAAGACGGCCACGACUCCACUAUUUCGUGCAAAUUAGAGGUAGUGCUGGGGUCCCUGGCAAGUUCCCAAUAUGGGUCUCAGAUGACUUAAAUCCUUCCCAUGGGUACAUCGACACAUUAUUGAGCAAUUACAUUCUCUUGUGGCAGUCAUCUGUGGAAUAAGUAAACUCCCUCUAUUAGCCACACAAUGAUAUCAUGCACCAUAAAUGCAUGCUUGGCCUCCAUUGUGUCAACAAUCAGUUAUGUUCUCAAAGGAAGAAAUGUGAAUAUAAUUCUAAAACUACAGUGACUAAUAAACAGGUUAGUUUUAUUACUUGUUUCAGCCCUGAAUGCCAACAUUGCAUUUAACUCAAAAGACUCCCAUAAAAGUAGAAGGCAUACAGGUAAGCAUAGAAUUAUUUAUUUGUUGUAAAUAUAUUAUAACUUUUGGGGUUGGGGUAGAAAGGGAGUCCAAAAGAGGAAAGUAACUCACGUUUUGAUCUUUUUUCUCCACUGACUUAAUGAAAGCUACUCAUAAUUUUCUCAUCAAUCACUUUUGCAAAGCUGUGACGUACAUUACUGAUUGUGGAUCUGCUUGCACCAGCAGAAUAUUUAUACAACAAGAUGUAAAGUUAUAUUUGAAAAUUAGAUCUGUGAUUACUCCAUAUAGUGCAAUAAAUAUUGCAAUGGGUCUUCCCCUUUCCCCCUUUUAAUGACACUUAUCUAAAUGUUUUGUAAAGCUUUGAAAGCUUCCAAGGGCAGAGUGUAUCCUAAAAGGUGACCUAAAUUUCUGGGUACCCUUUAAUAGCAUACACCAGCUAUCAUUACUCAGAUAGCCUGUGCUUGGAUGCUUUUUUCAGCCUUUCUGUGUGUUUGUGUGUCAUUGAGUGAUGUAGCUGAGGCUGAUCACUCACAGAUAUGGUAUUUUAAUUUGCUGCCCUGUGAAGCAGCAUCCACUGAUGCCUACAUAAUGUAAAGACUGGCUUCCUAUACACAUUCGAGACAGGAUGAGGCUAAGAAGCAAAAAAACACAGGAAGUAUUUUUGCAAAGGGGAGAAUUGGGAAGAGUUUAAAGCUUCAUACUGUCCUCAGAUAAUGUAAUGUUUUGGGACCUGUGAAUAGGAGAAGUCCAACACUAUUUUCUGCCUGGUGCACCCUGAUAAUGAAGGUGGGCAGUGCUGGGGUCUCCUACACACAAGGCCAAUCAGGGGUUGUUUCCCAUGGGUCUUAAUGUUCUGGCUGGGGACAGAGGACAGAUCCCAGUGUGCUUUUCAAGCUUUUAAAGUAUUAUUCAGUCUGGAUGAAUGACUACCCUUUGUUUUGUCAUCAGAGAAUAUUUAUGACCGUCGAAGCAAGGCUGAGUUCCUGGAGACAGGAUAACGCGUGGCUUUCUGCUGCCAGACAGAGAGUUCCUUUCGGUGGUCACACCAAUGUUUUUUCAUACUCCCACGGACACCGCAACUUUUUUGGAUAAGGAAGAAGAUGAUGGAACACAGAUGAGGGAAAGAAAUGGCCUCAGAGAACUUGGAUACAUGGGGGAUCCAGUUUUUCAUUUUUGGUCCAUUGUAAGUUAUGGAAUCUUGCUAUUAGGAACAAAUCUGGAUGAACUGCUUUAUGGAACAGCAAACCCAGGUAUGUGUGUUUGUGAAAAUUAAAGAAUUUUCAAGGGGGAAAUAAUCACUGUUAUUUUAACUGUUGAUAAAUGUUAUAUGCACUGUAGACUUCCAUAUUAAUUUAUUCUUCUAUGCAAAUAUUUCCCAUGCUUGUUUCAUUUUUUUCCCACAGCAUUUUUUUAAGAGCUCUGGAAGCUGGAUUUGAUGGCUUCUAAACCACCACAAUUUCUUUUCACUUGGCAAGAACCUGAGGCACUCCACGUGUGAACGCGAGGUACAAUGAGCCAUUCUGUGGUGGUCAGUGCCAAGAAACAGUGGCUGGCAGUACUUCUCUCCAGAUGUACCAUUUGGCACAUUAAGCAAGUCUUUUCUUAGAAGGGGAACCUAUGGUUUUGCCAUGUAAUGCAAAACACCAAUGGAAUCACUACAUAAGCAAAAUGCCAGUAAUGGUAUAGUGGUCCAGCCACAAACAUUGGUGCCAUUCAUAUGUACUGUGAAGCAGCCAUCAGUCUAAAGAGCAGGAGAAAACACUGGGGAAAGAAGGGCAAGCCAGGGUAGCAACGCAAGGAUGGUGAUUUGCACAGGCCCAGGAAGCACAUCAGCAGGAAUAUGAUUUGUUGGUUUUUCUUCUAUAUCCCCCCUGUAAUACUUGGGUUUGCUGGAAGCUGAGAAGCAGUAUCUCAAGGAGGAUUGUUUUAUUCUUGCUGUUUCUCAUGCACCUACUGUAGCAUCUGCUGCUGCAUUCUGUCUGAGACAGGAUAUUGAGAUAGCCUGUUGUUUGACCUAACCUAGCAAGCUCUUAUAUUUAACCUAGCUAGCUCCUAUACAGUAGUUUCCUAAGAUGGGAUCUGUUUUCUCACCCACCUUAUGUCAAAUAAUCAGAGAGCAUGUUCCCUUUUCUUACCACCUCUGCCCUGCUGCAAUUCUUCUGAUGCCAUUAGUCUUAUUUCUGGUUUAUAAGAGAACUAAGGCCAUACUUUCUCAUCAGCCAGCCAGAUACACUGAAUUCCAAGGAGUGUGUGGCCUGUUCUCCAUGGCAGUCCUGCC